rnacentral:rRNA from 1 species
UACGUAGGGUGCAAGCGUUAAUCGGAAUUACUGGGCGUAAAGCGUGCGCAGGCGGUUUUGUAAGUCUGAUGUGAAAUCCCCGGGCUCAACCUGGGAAUUGCGAUGGAGACUGCAAGGCUUGAAUCUGGCAGAGGGGGGUAGAAUUCCACGUGUAGCAGUGAAAUGCGUAGAGAUGUGGAGGAACACCGAUGGCGAAGGCAGCCCCCUGGGUCAAGAUUGACGCUCAUGCACGAAAGUGUGGGGAGCGAACAGG